AACUUUUCUCGAGCUUUCGCUCAGAUCAAGUGUAGUAUCUGUUCUAUUAUGUUUAAACACAUAAUGAGGCUUUCUUAAGCCUUCAUUAGUUUAACCGAAUUUCUUCAGAGGGCGUUAUUCAAACAGGCUUGUUUACAAGUCGAAUACGCGAGCAUGUUCUUGGCCUUGCACUUUGCCUCGAACGUGUACCUCGA
rnacentral:snRNA from 1 species